rnacentral:rRNA from 1 species
AGUGAACGCUGGCGGUAUGCCUAACACAUGCAAGUCGAACGGCAGCACAGUAAGAGCUUGCUCUUACGGGUGGCGAGUGGCGGACGGGUGAGGAAUACAUCGGAAUCUACUUUUUCGUGGGGGAUAACGUAGGGAAACUUACUCUAAUACCGCAUACGCCCUACGGGUGAAAGCAGGGGAUCUUCGGACCUUGCGCGAUUGAAUGAGCCGAUGUCGGAUUAGCUAGUUGGCGGGGUAAAGGCCCACCAAGGCGACGAUCCGUAGCUGGUCUGAGAGGAUGAUCAGCCACAUUGGAACUGAGACACGGUCAAGACUCCUACGGGAGGCAGCAGUGGGGAAUAUUGGACAAUGGGCGCGAGCAUGAUCCAGCCAUACCGCGUGGGUGACGAAGGCCUUCGGGUUGUAAAGCCCUUUUGUUGGGAAAGAAAAGCAGCAGGUUAAUACCACGCUGUUCUGACGGUACCCAAAGAAUAAGCACCGGCUAACUUCGUG